rnacentral:rRNA from 2 species
UCUGGUUGAUCCUGCCAGUAGUCAUAUGCUUGUCUCAAAGAUUAAGCCAUGCAUGUCUAAGUAUAAGCAAUUUAUACAGUGAAACUGCGAAUGGCUCAUUAAAUCAGUUAUCGUUUAUUUGAUAGUUCCUUUACUACAUGGUAUAACUGUGGUAAUUCUAGAGCUAAUACAUGCUUAAAAUCUCGACCCUUUGGAAGAGAUGUAUUUAUUAGAUAAAAAAUCAAUGUCUUCGGACUCUUUGAUGAUUCAUAAUAACUUUUCGAAUCGCAUGGCCUUGUGCUGGCGAUGGUUCAUUCAAAUUUCUGCCCUAUCAACUUUCGAUGGUAGGAUAGUGGCCUACCAUGGUUUCAACGGGUAACGGGGAAUAAGGGUUCGAUUCCGGAGAGGGAGCCUGAGAAACGGCUACCACAUCCAAGGAAGGCAGCAGGCGCGCAAAUUACCCAAUCCUAAUUCAGGGAGGUAGUGACAAUAAAUAACGAUACAGGGCCCAUUCGGGUCUUGUAAUUGGAAUGAGUACAAUGUAAAUACCUUAACGAGGAACAAUUGGAGGGCAAGUCUGGUGCCAGCAGCCGCGGUAAUUCCAGCUCCAAUAGCGUAUAUUAAAGUUGUUGCAGUUAAAAAGCUCGUAGUUGAACUUUGGGCCCGGUUGGCCGGUCCGAUUUUUUCGUGUACUGGAUUUCCAACGGGGCCUUUCCUUCUGGCUAACCUUGAGUCCUUGUGGCUCUUGGCGAACCAGGACUUUUACUUUGAAAAAAUUAGAGUGUUCAAAGCAGGCGUAUUGCUCGAAUAUAUUAGCAUGGAAUAAUAGAAUAGGACGUUUGGUUCUAUUUUGUUGGUUUCUAGGACCAUCGUAAUGAUUAAUAGGGACGGUCGGGGGCAUCAGUAUUCAAUUGUCAGAGGUGAAAUUCUUGGAUUUAUUGAAGACUAACUACUGCGAAAGCAUUUGCCAAGGACGUUUUCAUUAAUCAAGA